UAACACAAACAAACUGGAUGGUUUACCC
rnacentral:sRNA from 1 species